CGCGUUGCUAAACCGGCAGUGUUGUUACAGCAGCGGUUGUUUUGCGGUUGUUUAGCAGAUCAUUAAAGCUUUAAUAGAGAAGAUCUCAGCUCUGAUCUGGCCUGGUACCUGAGCGCCCCCUCCUGGAUGUGGGCUGUAAUCGAUGCCCUCUUCAGCUGCUAGUCUGGAGCUCCAGUAGCAGGACCAGUGUUCAUGUGUGUGAGCUGCAGGGAGGCUGUAGGAUGAAGGUGAUCGUGGACGUGGUGUGGAUGGUGUGGGGAAUCGGGGCCUGGGUGUACGAUUACUUCCACACCAGCGCCAUGGAGGAGAGGAUCCAUACCUUGGAGAACGUCCUGACCAUCCACCAGUUCCUCAUAGUGUUCCUCACAGCCAGCCUCGCCGUGCUCAUCUCCUACAUCGUUUUUAAGAAGCACUGAUGCGCCGGGAUGGUGCUGGAACCCAUCAGGAGAUGUUUCUGAUAGAUGGACACAUUAAAUGUGCAGUCAGCUGUUCACUGGUGUCACAGAUUUCUAACCUGCCAUGUGACUGGUGGUGCUUUCUGUUCUGUCCUGAUUAUUUCUGAUCCACCUGUGGGGUGCAGAAUAUUUACUAUCAGCUGCUAUUAACAAUGUUUGAAACUAAAAUCCCUGGUGCCACCUUUACCUGUAUCACCACACGUGGAGCUGGUGAAUAUUUAGCAUGUACGUGAUUUAACCCAGGGAUAAUGUGAAGGGGUGAAUUUUAGGGAUCCAAGAGGACUCUAAAGAAUCGUGAAAAUGGUUCAGGAUGAUAAACGGGAUGACAACACUAGUUUUGUACUUUAAUUAAAUAACAAUUUCCUAAACUUUGUCAUGUUUACGAUAAUAAAACCACUGUGUUACUG